rnacentral:rRNA from 1 species
CAGCCGCCACGGUAAUACGAAGGGUGCAAGCGUUAAUCGGAAUUACUGGGCGUAAAGCGUGCGUAGGCGGUUCGUUAAGUCUGUUGUGAAAGCCCCGGGCUCAACCUGGGAAUGGCAAUGGAUACUGGCGAGCUAGAGUGUGUCAGAGGAUGGUGGAAUUCCCGGUGUAGCGGUGAAAUGCGUAGAGAUCGGGAGGAACAUCAGUGGCGAAGGCGGCCAUCUGGGACAACACUGACGCUGAGGCACGAAAGCGUGGGGAGCAAACAGGAUUACAUACCCGCGUAGUCCCUGUCUCUUAUAA